UUUUUUAGAAGGCAAUUUCCAAUCAAACCACAAAACCACAUGCUACGAUAAUAUAUGUUAGUAGUUAUUCUAUUCUUCGACCAUUUACUUGUAUGAAUUAAUCGGUAAUUAAUGUAUUUUAUUUUAUAUUAUAUUGGACAACGCAUGCCCACUUAAUCACGACAACUUGCGCUGCAUUUUCCUUUAUAAACAUGUAUACACAUGUUAACACCAUUUCUAUUAACAAUUGUGGUUUUUUAAAGGCGAUUUCCGAUCAAACCACAAGAUCUCCUGAUACGAUAAUAUUUGUUAGUAGUUAUUCUAUCCUUCUACCAUACACUAGUAUUAGUUACAUGUAGCUGGAUGCUAAAACUAUUUUACAUUUUAUGCAUGAAGGAGAGAAAAAGAAGAUGUCGAAUUUAAAAUUUAAUAUAUUCAGUGUAAAAUAUUGUCAUAUACAAUAAUGAACAAAAAUAUAACAAAAGAUAAUAACGAAUGAAAAACAUUAACCGAUAGUUUAAUAAUGCAGAGUGCAAUAGCCUCUCAAGACAGGAGUCAACUAUAAGAAAAAUAACUUGCUAAUUCUGAUACAUGCACCAACUCACAAAAACUUAAACUUUUUGUAAAGGACUAGAAUUAUAGAUAACAUCAAACAAACAUAAAAAGUUCAGUGAAAAUAAAUCUUUCAUAUAGCGGAAUCCUCUAGAUAAGUCACAUGAUCUUCCCUUAAACUGGUACAAAUCAAGUCGGGAAGGCACAUACACCACGUAUUCUUAAAGUUCGCUCAUAUAUGAGUUUCGACGGUUUUGUAAAUGCAAAAUUAUCCUGACAAAUAUAAAUGGUCAAUUAAACAAUCAAGUAAGCUGAUGUCAUUGUCUUAACUAUUAAAAUUGUGUUAAAGUAAAUACAAAUGAAAACUAGAAAAUCAUUACAUUAAUAAAUAGUUUUUACACAAUUAAGCGUCAACUACACGUGUUUUGUUAUAAUAAUAUAAAAAAUAUCACAGACAUACAAAUGUAUGGUUUUUAUUUAAAGCACUAGCAAGUUACUAUUUGAAUGUAGAUAGGUAGUAUGACAACGAUCAACAAAGUCCUUUCUUGGUUCCAUGCCAUACCCAUACCCUUUGUAUUUUUAGCUCUACUCGUCAUUGCUAUUUCUAUAAGGGAGAACUUAACCGGAUUUUUUUUACCCACCUAACGUUUUUAGGUUUUAAGAUAAAUUUAAAUAAACAAAAAGCAGACUUGGUUCACGUUUAUUUGCAUUGACACUAAUACCACAUCUUCUUAUAUUUGUAUUUAAUUUUCAGAGGUUAAAAUCAGAGCUUGGUUUUCAUGGUAGGAUAUUGACGAUACUUAGCAUUGUUGAGGACAUACUAUCCUCUAUAUUGUCAAUAUAAACAUGUCUAGAAAUAAAUGUGGAUAAAAUAUCGUUUGUUUCAGAUGAAAUUAAUGUAUAAUUUUGCAAAAAUGCAGGAUUGUAGGUCAAAAUUGUUUCUUCCAACACGUGUAAGCUCUAAAUGCACACCACCAUUUGAAAUAAAGUGUCCAUGUUGAGAUACCAUGAUAAUUGGAACGGAUUGUGCGGUACAAAUAAUGACCCUAAGUAACUGGUAUGACAUAGUUAAGUUAUGAAUUACACUCUGUUAUCGUUUAGUGUAUUUAAUGUUUAGAAAACAUUUACAGAU
rnacentral:lncRNA from 1 species